CAGCAGCAGCCGCGGUAAUACGUAGGGUGCAAGCGUUAAUCGGAAUUACUGGGCGUAAAGCGUGCGCAGGCGGUUUGUUAAGACAGAUGUGAAAUCCCCGGGCUCAACCUGGGAACUGCAUUUGUGACUGGCAAGCUAGAGUCUGGCAGAGGGGGGUGGAAUUCCGCGUGUAGCAGUGAAAUGCGUAGAUAUGCGGAGGAACACCGAUGGCGAAGGCAGCCCCCUGGGCCAACACUGACGCUCAUGCACGAAAGCGUGGGGAGCAAACAGGAUUAGAUACCCGCGUAGUCCCUGUCUCUUAUAA
rnacentral:rRNA from 1 species